CUGUAAUGGCGAAUGAACAGGGAACUAGCUCAUGGUUGAAAUUAGGGCUUGCCAGGCUCUGAGUUGUAGUCUUUAGUUGCGUUGCUAACCGAGGUACACUUGUGAGCCCCUUGGAAGAGAGCAUCGGUGAGGGUGAGAAUCCCAUCUGUCACUUGCAAACCUCUGUGUACGGCACGCCCCCGAAGAGUCGCGUUCCUUGGACAUGGAACGUAAAUUGGGUGGUAGACUUCAUCUGAAGCUAGGUAUUGGUUCAAUGCCGACAGAAGACAAGUACCGUGAGGGAAAGGUGAAAAGGACUUUGAAAAGAGAGUUUAAAGUGCUUGAAAUUGCUGAAAAAGAAGCAAAUGCAACCAUUGCUGCUUGGCAAGAUUGUCGUGCACCAAGGCAUAUCCCGGUGUGCGCGGUGCGUCUUACCUUGUGCGUCCACGUUACUUCAUGGUGAGGGAGACCUCCAAGCAUGUGGUGGGCCUUCCUUUGGGGAGUGCCAGUGUGCUUGGUAAACCCUGGUCCUGAAAAGCUAUCUUGCAUGUCUGGUCGCACCUUUCCGGGACCCUGACGCUCAAGCAACUGACGGAAUGGUUCGUUCUGACCCGUCUUGAAACACGGACCAAGGAGUCUAACGCAUGUGCGAGUUCGCGGGUAACGAAAGCCUGCAUGCGAAGUGAAAGCGAUGGCUGGGACAUUUGCGCCAGCGGCCAACCAAUCAAUAGAGAGAGGCUUGAGCACAAGCACAUCUGUUGGGUCCCGAAAGAUGGUGAACUAUGCCUGAGCAAAGCAAACUCAGGGGAAACUCUGAUGGAGGCUCGUAGCGAUACUGACGUGC
rnacentral:rRNA from 1 species